rnacentral:pre_miRNA from 1 species
UGUUAAAAAUUUCGUCCGUUUCUAUUGUUAAAAACUGGUAACCAAUUUUUAACUAUAGAAAUAGAUGGAAUUUUUAACA